GAUGAAGAACGCAGCGAAAUGCGAUACGUAAUGUGAAUUGCAGAAUUCAGUGAAUCAUCGAAUCUUUGAACGCAUAUUGCGCUCUCUGGUAUUCCGGAGAGCAUGCUUGUUUGAGUAUCAGUAAACACCUCAACUUCCAUAUCUUUUUUGAAAUGGGAGUUGGACUUGAGUGAUCCCAACGCUUUUCCUCACCGAAAAGCGGCGGGUUACUUGAAAUGCAGGUGCAGCUGGACUUUUCUCUGAGCUAUAAGCAUAUCUAUUUAGUCUGCCUAAAAAACAGAUUAUUACCUUUGCUGCAGCUAACAUAAAGGAGAUUAGUUCUUGUGCUGACUGAUGCAGGAUUCACAAAGACAGGCUUCGGCCGACUUUGUAAACUCGAUCUCAAAUCAAGUAAGACUACCCGCUGAACUUAAGCAUAUCAAUAAGCGGAAGA
rnacentral:misc_RNA from 1 species